CUAGGCUACGUUAGCUCGUUGUUUGUGAACAGAACUGGGGAAAUACUCACAGAACCACUGCAGAGAGGAGUCCACAGAGCAUUCUGGUCUGAUUUCUACCACCUACAACUGAGACGCCUGAAGCAAAACAUCACUGUUGUUCUCUAAAAGUCACAAACCGACCAGAACCGACCCGAACCGGACCCCCCACCGGGAGCCGGUGCAGCAUUUCAUCUGUGUCACUUCGUUAUCGGGUCCAAGGUGACGGAGAGGUCAGCCGAAUCAGCUUCUCCUGUUCAAGUAAACAAGCAACAGGCAGCGACAUUCUGAACUCUGCUCACAGGUUUAUGCGUCACAUGAAAAAGCGAAAAGGUUCUCCAGGACCUGAAAAUGGAGAAGCUGCAGCUGCAAGAGCCAGAAUAGAAACGGUGAAG